UACGUAGGGGGCUAGCGUUGUCCGGAAUCAUUGGGCGUAAAGCGCGCGCAGGCGGCUCGGUAAGUCGGGUGUGAAAACUCGGGGCUCAACCCCGGGCGUGCAUCCGAUACUGUCAAGCUCGAGUCCGGAAGAGGCGAGUGGAAUUCCUGGUGUAGCGGUGAAAUGCGCAGAUAUCAGGAGGAACACCAAUGGCGAAGGCGGCUCGCUGGGACGUGACUGACGCUGAGACGCGAAAGCGUGGGGAGCAAACAGG
rnacentral:rRNA from 1 species